rnacentral:rRNA from 1 species
AGAGUUUGAUCCUGGCUCAGGACGAACGCUGGCGGCGUGCCUAAUACAUGCAAGUAGAACGCUGAAGAGAGGAGCUUGCUCUUCUUGGAUGAGUUGCGAACGGGUGAGUAACGCGUAGGUAACCUGCCUUGUAGCGGGGGAUAACUAUUGGAAACGAUAGCUAAUACCGCAUAACAAUAGGUGACACAUGUCAUUUAUUUGAAAGGGGCAAUUGCUCCACUACAAGAUGGACCUGCGUUGUAUUAGCUAGUAGGUGAGGUAACGGCUCACCUAGGCGACGAUACAUAGCCGACCUGAGAGGGUGAUCGGCCACACUGGGACUGAGACACGGCCCAGACUCCUACGGGAGGCAGCAGUAGGGAAUCUUCGGCAAUGGGGGCAACCCUGACCGAGCAACGCCGCGUGAGUGAAGAAGGUUUUCGGAUCGUAAAGCUCUGUUGUAAGUCAAGAACGAGUGUGAGAGUGGAAAGUUCACACUGUGACGGUAGCUUACCAGAAAGGGACGGCUAACUACGUGCCAGCAGCCGCGGUAAUACGUAGGUCCCGAGCGUUGUCCGGAUUUAUUGGGCGUAAAGCGAGCGCAGGCGGUUUGAUAAGUCUGAAGUUAAAGGCUGUGGCUCAACCAUAGUUCGCUUUGGAAACUGUCAAACUUGAGUGCAGAAGGGGAGAGUGGAAUUCCAUGUGUAGCGGUGAAAUGCGUAGAUAUAUGGAGGAACACCGGUGGCGAAAGCGGCUCUCUGGUCUGUAACUGACGCUGAGGCUCGAAAGCGUGGGGAGCGAACAGGAUUAGAUACCCUGGUAGUCCACGCCGUAAACGAUGAGUGCUAGGUGUUGGAUCCUUUCCGGGAUUCAGUGCCGCAGCUAACGCAUUAAGCACUCCGCCUGGGGAGUACGACCGCAAGGUUGAAACUCAAAGGAAUUGACGGGGGCCCGCACAAGCGGUGGAGCAUGUGGUUUAAUUCGAAGCAACGCGAAGAACCUUACCAGGUCUUGACAUCCUUUGACCACUCUAGAGAUAGAGCUUCCCCUUCGGGGGCAAAGUGACAGGUGGUGCAUGGUUGUCGUCAGCUCGUGUCGUGAGAUGUUGGGUUAAGUCCCGCAACGAGCGCAACCCUUAUUGUUAGUUGCCAUCAUUUAGUUGGGCACUCUAGCGAGACUGCCGGUGACAAACCGGAGGAAGGUGGGGAUGACGUCAAAUCAUCAUGCCCCUUAUGACCUGGGCUACACACGUGCUACAAUGGGAAGUACAACGAGUCGCGAAGUCGCGAGGCUAAGCUAAUCUCUUAAAGCUUCUCUCAGUUCGGAUUGUAGGCUGCAACUCGCCUACAUGAAGCCGGAAUCGCUAGUAAUCGCGGAUCAGCACGCCGCGGUGAAUACGUUCCCGGGCCUUGUACACACCGCCCGUCACACCACGAGAGUUUGUAACACCCGAAGUCGGUGAGGUAACCUUUUGGAGCCAGCCGCCUAAGGUGGGAUAGAUGAUUGGGGUGAAGUCGUAACAAGGUAGCCGUAUCGGAAGGUGCGGCUG